rnacentral:lncRNA from 1 species
AUAAUCAGGAUUUCAGCCAAUAAUAAAAAUAUGAAUGCUGGCUGAUUUGUUGAUGUGGAUAGUGCUAAAAACACAAUAAAAAGGCUAAUAUUUCCAACAAUUUUUUUCAGUGUAAAUGAACAUGUAAGAAGUGGAAAAUAAAACCUCUAAUUAAUAUAAUUUACGUACUUUUUAUUAUGAAGAUUUUCAAAGUUUUUAAAAUCAGUACUUAUUAAUUUCAUUUUUUCUUGUCCUUCUUCUCCAACCUUCUUAAACGAAGAGACUAAGGCAUGGCAAAGUGCUGAGAACUUUUGACUUUCUCUUCCUUUCUAAAUGUUUGAAAACAUGCGUAAGUAGAAAUGAUCCAAAAGAAAAAAUACAGCUGGCACUUGUUUUCUAUCCCAUUAUAAUAAGUCUUCCACACAUAACUCACAGUGAAAACAUUUCCAAACCUCACUGCUGGCCUCUCCAAAUUGUUCUUAAUUAUUCUUUAGCAUUUGCAAUUGCUACAUAUUUGUGGCCUCUCAACUUCUGCUAUAACAAAAAAUCAUGAUUUCUUUUUGAAACCUUUUCCUAUUACUUUAUACUUCCAUGUAAUAUUAUUCAAGUUCAUACUCUUUGCUCUAUUAUCAGAAUCUCUGAGAGAUUCUAUUUUAUGUUUUACAGUACUAUUUUCAUAUUGGUGGUUCCCAAUUCUAUAUUUUCAUUCCUGUCUUGUGUCCUAAGCAAAAAAAAAAAAAAAAAAAAAAUCCAAAUAGAGAUGGAUUGCAACACAUGUCCAUCACCACUAGAAGCUAACCAUGUUCAAACUGAACUUAUACUGCUAUUCUCCAGACUUACUUCUCCUUUAAUUUUCCAUCCACUUUUUUCCUGAACUGUCCACCUGAGUUGACAUUUAUUCAUACAAGUCCUCUCUCCUUGAUCUCCCAUGAAUUACUAAGUGCUGCCACUUUUCUGCUGACCUCUCUCACAGUUGUAGAACACUUUCCCUCUGAUAGACAUGGGUCUUCUUAGCCAUUGCCUGAAUUGUUGUCUCAUUCUAAGUGCUCUUACUCUUCUCUCUC